CGGACCCUUUGCUGUUCAUCAAAUCCCGCGAGAUCUCAAGCUGACAGACACGCAGGGGGCCACUGUAUCCGGGCACCGGAAGCUGGAUGAAGCCCGCAGUAAAGGAGGAAGUUUCGAGCCAGGGUGACCUGUGGGCGUCCUCGUCGAGCUCCCGGCGACACCGGCGGAAUUAUUUUAUAUAGAAAUCUUGUGAAACCAUUGCACAAAUAAAGUGAUGAUCAUACAAAGAGUGGUAUUGGAUUCCCGACCUGG